rnacentral:rRNA from 1 species
GAUGAACGCUAGCUACAGGCUUAACACAUGCAAGUCGCGGGGCAGCAUGUAUCUGGCUUGCCAGAUACGAUGGCGACCGGCGCACGGGUGAGUAACGCGUAUCCAACCUGCCCAUAACCACGGCACAGCCCGUCGAAAGGCGGAUUAAUGCCGUAUGAGGUUCCAGUGUAGCAUUAUGGUGGAACGAAAGGAUUUGGCGGUUAUGGAUGGGGAUGCGUCCGAUUAGCUAGUUGGCGGGGUAACGGCCCACCAAGGCGACGAUCGGUAGGGGUUCUGAGAGGAAGGUCCCCCACACUGGAACUGAGACACGGUCCAGACUCCUACGGGAGACAGCAGUGAGGAAUAUUGGUCAAUGGGCGUAAGCCUGAAACCAGCCAAGUAGCGUGCAGGACGAACGGCCCUAUGGGUUGUAAAACUGCUUUUUCGCGGGGAUAAAGAGGGGGAUGCGUCCCCCGUUGCAGGUACCGCGU